AGCAGUCGCCGCGGUAAAACGUAGGGUGCAAGCGUUAAUCGGAAUUACUGGGCGUAAAGCGUGCGCAGGCGGUUCUAUAAGACAGAUGUGAAAUCCCCGGGCUUAACCUGGGAACUGCAUUUGUGACUGCAGAGCUGGAGUGCGGCAGAGGGGGAUGGAAUUCCGCGUGUAGCAGUGAAAUGCGUAGAUAUGCGGAGGAACACCGAUGGCGAAGGCAAUCCCCUGGGCCUGCACUGACGCUCAUGCACGAAAGCGUGGGGAGCAAACAGGAUUAGAUACCCGCGUAGUCCCUGUCUCUUAUAC
rnacentral:rRNA from 1 species